rnacentral:rRNA from 1 species
UGGGGAAUUUUGGACAAUGGGCGAAAGCCUGAUCCAGCAAUGCCGCGUGUGUGAAGAAGGCCUUCGGGUUGUAAAGCACUUUUGUCCGGAAAGAAAUCCUUGGCUCUAAUACAGUCGGGGGAUGACGGUACCGGAAGAAUAAGCACCGGCUAACUACGUGCCAGCAGCCGCGGUAAUACGUAGGGUGCAAGCGUUAAUCGGAAUUACUGGGCGUAAAGCGUGCGCAGGCGGUUUGCUAAGACCGAUGUGAAAUCCCCGGGCUCAACCUGGGAACUGCAUUGGUGACUGGCAGGCUAGAGUAUGGCAGAGGGGGGUAGAAUUCCACGUGUAGCAGUGAAAUGCGUAGAGAUGUGGAGGAAUACCGAUGGCGAAGGCAGCCCCCUGGGCCAAUACUGACGCUCAUGCACGAAAGCGUGGGGAGCAAAACAGGAUUAGUACCCUGGUAGUCCCACGCCCUAAACCGAUGUCAACUAGUUGUUGGGGAUUCAUUCCUUAGUAACGUACUAACGCGUGAAGUUGACCGCCUGGGGAGUACGGUCGCAAGAUU